rnacentral:rRNA from 1 species
GUGCCAGCCGCCGCGGUAAUACGGAGGGUGCGAGCGAUAAUCGGAAAAACUGGGCGUAUAGCGCUUGCAGGUGGUAUGUUAAGUCAGAUGUGAAAGCGCGGGGCUCAACCUCGGAAUUGCAUUUGAUACUGGUGAACUAGAGUACUGUAGAGGGGGGUAGAAUUUCAGGUGUAGCGGUGAAAUGCGUAGAGAUCUGAAGGAAUACCGGUGGCGAAGGCGGCCCCCUGGACAGAUACUGACACUCAGAUGCGAAAGCGUGGGGAGCAAACAGGAUUAGAAACCCGAGUAGUCC